rnacentral:rRNA from 1 species
AUCAUUAUCGAAUUAUAAGCGAAGGUUGUAGCUGGCCCUCCCGGGGGCAACGUGCACGCCCGAGCUCUUAAUCCACUUACACCUGUGAACUCAAUGUGGGACGUCCUUCGGGACGAUUCUCAUGUCUUUCAUAUACUCUUAUGUAUGUCACGGAAUGUCUUGUCGUUGCUUUAACGCAAUUAUAUACAACUUUCAACAACGGAUCUCUUGGUUCUGGCAUCGAUGAAGAACGCAGCGAAAUGCGAUAAGUAAUGUGAAUUGCAGAAUUCAGUGAAUCAUCGAAUCUUUGAACGCACAUUGCGCCCGCUGGUAUUCCGGCGGGCAUGCCUGUUCGAGCGUCAUUAUGACCAAUCAAGCUCUGCUUGGCCUUGGGGCCCGCUGUACCGGCGGCCCUUAAAACCAGUGGCGGUGCCGUCUGGCUCUCAGCGUAGUAAUACUCCUCGCUACAGGGUCCAGCCGUCCACCCGCCAGAACCCCCAACUUUCUCAAGGUUGACCUCGGAUCAGGUAGGGAUACCCGCUGAACUUAAGCAUAUCAAUAAGCGGAGGA